UGAGGUUGUGGCUCAGUGGUAGAGCACUUGUCUACCAUGCACGAGGCACUGGGUUUGAUCCUCAGCACCUCAG
rnacentral:tRNA from 1 species